CAUGUCCUUUUGAUAAUAAUUUAAGGUCUGAUCUGCUCAAUGAUAAUUAAAUUGCCGCAGUAUUUUGACUGUGCAAAGGUAGCAUAAUAAUUAGUUUCUUAAUUAGAAACUGGAAUGAAUGAUUGGACAAGAAAAUUUCUGUCUCUUUUUUAAUUUUUUUGAAUUUUAUUUUUAAGUGAAAAAGCUUAAAUAUUUAUAAAAGACGAGAAGACCCUAUAGAGUUUGAUAUUUUUGCAUAAUUUAAUAUUAGAAUUAUUUUUUGGGCAGAUUUAUUUAGUUGGGGUGAUUUGAAGAUUAAAAAAAUUCUUUAAAAGUUAAAUUGAUGAUUCUUAAAUUUUAAAUCUAUAGUUUAUAAAACUAAAAUUAAUUACCUUAGGGAUAACAGCGUAAUUUUUCUUAAAAGUUCAUAUUGAAAGGAAAGUUUGCGACCUCGAUGUUGGAUUAAAAUAAAUUUUUGGUGCAAUAACUUAAAAAUUAGGUCUGUUCGACCUUUAAAAUUUUACAUGAUCUGAGUUUAAACCGGUGUAAACCAGGUUGGAUUCUAUCUUUAGAAAGUUAAUAUAUUUUAGUACGAAAGGACCAAAUAUGUAUUAAAUUAAUUG
rnacentral:rRNA from 1 species